ACUCUCUGAUCUGUCAGCAGGAAGGUCACUUUCCAAGUUCCACAUCAUUCUCAGCUCACACUGACAACAUGCUGGGGAGCCUCUGCACUCUCAUCACUGCUCUAUCAUGUGUGAGUGGUGUGACGCUGGUGACCCAGAAGCCAAAUGUUGUGACGGUGAGGAAAGGAGACACAGUCUCCAUGGACUGUAACCUGGGAUCUGUUACCAAUUAUGCUGCUCUCUGGUAUAAACAAAGUCGAGGAGGAGUUCCUCAGUUUGUGCUGUAUUUUUACCACUCACACAGCUCACCUACAUAUGGUUCUGGGUUUUCUUCUCCAAAGUUCACAUCUACUCAUCAGUCAACAUCAGAUUAUCGUUUGACCAUUAAAACUAUAGAGGAGCAGGACUCUGCAGUCUAUUACUGUAACACAUGGGA